rnacentral:rRNA from 1 species
GACGAACCGUGCGAACGUUAUUCGGAAUCACUGGGCUUAAAGCGCGUGUAGGCGGAUGGGACCGUCGGUCGCUGAAAUCCCCCGGCUCAACCGGGGAACGGGCGCCGAAACGACCCGUCUGGAGGGACGUAGGGGGACCUGGAACUUCCGGUGGAGCGGUGAAAUGCGUUGAGAUCGGAAGGAACGCCCGUGGCGAAAGCGAGGUCCUGGACGUCUACUGACGCUGAGGUGCGAAAGCGUGGGGAGCAAACAGG